rnacentral:rRNA from 1 species
UGCAGUCGAGCGGUAACAGGAGUAGCUUGCUACUCGCUGACGAGCGGCGGACGGGUGAGUAACGCGUAGGAAUCUGCCUAAUAGUUGGGGAUAGCCCGGGGAAACCCGGAUUAAUACCGAAUACGCUCUACGGAGGAAAGCAGGGGAUCUUCGGACCUUGCGCUAUUAGAUGAGCCUGCGUGAGAUUAGCUAGUUGGUGAGGUAAUGGCUCACCAAGGCGACGAUCUCUAGCUGGUCUGAGAGGAUGAUCAGCCACACUGGGACUGAGACACGGCCCAGACUCCUACGGGAGGCAGCAGUGGGGAAUAUUGCACAAUGGGCGCAAGCCUGAUGCAGCCAUGCCGCGUGUGUGAAGAAGGCCUUCGGGUUGUAAAGCACUUUCAGUAAGGAGGAAAGGUUAAGCGUUAAUAGCACUUAGCUGUGACGUUACUUACAGAAGAAGCACCGGCUAACUCCGUGCCAGCAGCCGCGGUAAUACGGAGGGUGCGAGCGUUAAUCGGAAUUACUGGGCGUAAAGCGUACGCAGGCGGUUUGUUAAGCGAGAUGUGAAAGCCCCGGGCUCAACCUGGGAACUGCAUUUCGAACUGGCAAACUAGAGUGUGAUAGAGGGUGGUAGAAUUUCAGGUGUAGCGGUGAAAUGCGUAGAGAUCUGAAGGAAUACCGAUGGCGA